GACGAACGCUGGCGGCGUGCUUAACACAUGCAAGUCGAACGGAAAGGCCCUGCUUUUGUGGGGUGCUCGAGUGGCGAACGCGUGAGUAACACGUGAGUAUCCUGCUCUUGACUUUGGGAUAACUUCAGGAAACUGGGGCUAAUCUCGGACAGGAGAUCCUGUUGCAUGGUGGGGGUUGGAACGUUUCGGCGGUUGGGGUUGGACUCGCGGCUUAUCAGCUUGUUGGUUGGGGAGUGGCUUACCGAGGCUUUGGCUGGUCGCCGGCCUGGGAGGGUGAACGGGCACAUUAGUACUAGGGUACGGCCCAGUCUGGAACAGGAGCCAGCAGUGGCGAAUAUGAUACAAUGGACGGGAGUCUGAGGCAACAGCGCCGCGGGCGGGAAGACGGCCUUCGGGUUGAAAACCGCUGUCGCCUAUUACGAAGCGUGUGUGACGGUAAUGGGUAAAGAAGCACCGGCUAACUACGUG
rnacentral:rRNA from 1 species